rnacentral:lncRNA from 1 species
CCGGAUUCAGAAGUCCCAUGGUGGAAGAGUGAACCAACUCCUGAAUACUGUCUUCUGCUUGUCAUAUGUAUGACAUGAUGCAUGUGUUCACACACUUACAUGAAUAAAUAUACAAACACUAAGAACGAAGGGAUGGGGCUCUUGGAGCAGAAAGUGCAUUAAUGUCCCCUGAAUGUUAUUUUGGUAUCUUUCCUGUAUAUUCUCUCUAGUGAGUCCUCUACAAACUGAGCUGUCUCAGAAUACCAAAGUGUUUGUCUGCUGAGUGUCACAGGGCGCUCUGCUUGUUGAAGCUGGAACCGCGUGAAAGCCUGGGUUAAACUCUGGAAAGAGGAAAACACACCAUUCCUCUGGCAGAGUGAUCCCUGUGCAGUCAGUGAUGUGCACGCCCCCGCAUAGGGGCUCUCCCACGGUGCGGACCAAUAUGCACCCACAGGCACUGGCGCCGCACGGGUGCCUUUCCUCUCCACCAGCUUUCUCGCCCAAAGAAUCCGCUUAUUCCCCUGCCGCAGUGUUUUCCUGUCUCCAUGUGCCGCCCAUCCGCACAGGUGUUUCGCUUUCCUUGUGACUCUGAGUUUCUUUGAAAAGUGAAAAACCACGGGAAAAAAGCGAAAGUUUCGGGCAACUGCUGAGAGUGGCUAGGAGGAGGGAGAAGUGGCCGGGUUAGGAAUUCAGCCUGCAGAGGGAAAAUGCUGAAGAAUGGGCAGUUUGUUGUUUAGUGAAAGACCAGUCUAAUGUGGAUCGUCAGUUAAUCUACAGCGUCUGUGGAAAGACCCAUGCUUACUGAAUCGUGGUGACACGAUUCACCAAUAAGGUGAAAUAUGAGCCUUCUGCUCUCUGCUUUACUUUUCCGUUGUUAAACUUGUUCUUCAA